GAUGAACGCUGGCGGCGUGCCUAAUACAUGCAAGUCGAGCGAAUGGAUUAAGAGCUUGCUCUUAUGAAGUUAGCGGCGGACGGGUGAGUAACACGUGGGUAACCUGCCCAUAAGACUGGGAUAACUCCGGGAAACCGGGGCUAAUACCGGAUAACAUUUUGAACCGCAUGGUUCGAAAUUGAAAGGCGGCUUCGGCUGUCACUUAUGGAUGGACCCGCGUCGCAUUAGCUAGUUGGUGAGGUAACGGCUCACCAAGGCAACGAUGCGUAGCCGAGCUGGGAGGGUGAUCGGCCACACUGGGACGAAGACACGGCCCAGACUCCUACGGGAGGCAGCAGUAGGGAAUCUUCCGCAAUGGACGAAAGUCUGACGGAGCAACGCCGCGUGAGUGAUGAAGGCUUUCGGGUCGUAAAACUCUGUUGUUAGGGAAGAACAAGUGCUAGUUGAAUAAGCUGGCACCUUGACGGUACCUAACCAGAAAGCCACGGCUAACUACGUGCCAGCCGCCGCGGUAA
rnacentral:rRNA from 1 species